AAGAGGGGGAGCUUGGCUGGAUGUGAGGCAGAAGAAGCAGGCCUCCAGGUCCCAGGGUCAGGACUAGGGUGCAGGUUGGCCCUGAACCCCAGCAGGUGGUAUCUGCCAGUCCAAAGUCUGUGAGCACCCCACCAAAAGGAGGUGUCUCCAGCAGGCUGUUAACCUUGGUAAUGAAAAGCACAACUUUAUGAGCAUCAAAAAUUGGCUAAACUUAUUAAUUUUAUCUAUAAUAGAAAAUUAAUGGUUGGGAUGAAUGAGCCAGCAGCAGUAAGGACCUCUGGUUUCGAAUAUGCAGGGGAAGCAUGGAAUCACUUCCUAAUGUGGAUGGUUCCUUUCCUUUUAUUACACUGCAGCAGAAAUAAAUUUUAACUGUCUUCUUUUUUUCAGGGGAGUAUUUGGUUUUCAGUUCCAGGAAUUUCCUUUUUACCCACAGGAGGGAAGAUACCAUGGCCAGAAAGCUUUCGUUUUCCCUCACCCCUCAACCUCUGUUCUCCCCUCUCACGCAUCAUCAGGAUGGAAAGGCUCCUUGGUCCUACCUCUAGUGAUGAAGGAGCUGUGGUCAAGCCUCCUGUGGCGUUUGUGCAGCCCAAGGGGGAUCACACAGACUCAGAAGGCAACAGCUGCUUGCCUUGCCUGAAAAUGCCUUGUGAUGGUGACUCCAGGACACAGCAAGUCCCUUCAAGGAGCACGGAAAGCUUUGUCUCUCCAUUGCCUGAUGCUGCUGGUGGGAAACACGCUUUCAGCAAACCCACAGUCCUUUCAGUGCCUUGGCUAAAGGAAGGAGAAGGAGAGAAAGGAGACCGAGCGAAGGCCGCUGGGACGGGCUUGGUGCCAUAGAGCAGGAAGAGCCACGUUCUUGAUUUCUGUGCUCUGAGGCUGGAGGAGCCUCCUCAGUCUGGACCCCAGGAAUCUGACUGACCAGGAACACCCUGUCAGCAUACUCCACAGCAGUGCUGUCCCCCAGAGACAGCGCUGCCUUACCAACUGGAAUCACAGGCACACACAGGAAAUGCUUCUUAUUUCACAAAAUAACACUCAACUUUGAAUGUUG
rnacentral:lncRNA from 1 species